rnacentral:rRNA from 1 species
CAGUAGCCGCGGUAAAACGAACCGUGCGAACGUUAUUCGGAAUCACUGGGCUUAAAGCGCGUGUAGGCGGAUUGGUGCGUCGGUGCCUGAAAUCCCCCGGCUCAACCGGGGAACGCGGCCCGAAACGACCAGUCUGGAGGGACGUAGGGGGAACUGGAACUUCCGGUGGAGCGGUGAAAUGCGUUGAGAUCGGAAGGAACGCCCGUGGCGAAAGCGAGUUCCUGGACGUCUGCUGACGCUGAGACGCGAAAGCUAGGGGAGCGAACAGGAUUAGAGACCCCCGUAGUCCCUGUCUCUUAUA